rnacentral:misc_RNA from 1 species
AGCAAACCGAUUUCAACAUCCCGCAUUGGUUCACCGAGGGGAUCGCCGUGCGCCUGGAAGAGAUGCCGCGCCCCACGUCGUGGAACGAGAUUCUGGCCAAACGCGCCGCGGCCGACGCUCUGUUCGAUCUCGCCGAUAUCAACUACGGCUUCAUUCGCCCGCAGAACCAGGACGAUUGGACCCUUGCCUAUUGCCAGGCGGAAUUGUAUUGCGACUACGCGGUGAAGAUGUAUGGCGACGACGCGCUCGCAAAGCUGUUGGCGGCGUAUCGCGAGAACCUGACCACGGAAGCGGCGCUCGCGCGCGAGUUCGGAGUGAAGAUCGCUGAUUUCGAAAAAGGCUAUCGUCAGUUUGUUUCCGAAGAAUUGAAAGCCGCCGGGCAUCGCGGCGCGCAGGCGAAGGAGAAAGAGCAGUCGGUUGAUGAACUCGAAGACGCCGUCGAGAAGUCGCCCCGCGAUGCGAUGCUCCAAGCGAAACUCGCGCUGGCGCAUUUGAACACCGGCAGUGUGCCGGCGGCGCGCACAGCGGCGCUCGCGGCGCAGAAACUCGAUGCGCAGCAACCGCUGGCGGGCUAUGUGCUGGCGAAGAUUCAGAUCGCGAUCGGUGAUACCGAUGCCGCGCGAGAACUGCUGAUCGCCGUGCAUGACGAUCAAGCUCCGGACGAGCGCGUGGUGGGUUUGCUCGCCGCGCUGAAGCUGCAAGCCGAAGAUUUCGGCGGCGCGGAAGCGCUCUAUCGCUUGGGGCAGAAGCACUACGCGCCGCGGGAUAAAUGGCUCAAAGCGCUCGCCAAGCUUUAUCUGCAAAGCAAAGAAGAGCCGAAGCUGGCGAAGGUGCUGGAAGAGCUCGCUGGCAUCGAGUACGACAAUGCGACGCUGCGCAAGAAGCUGGCGCAGCUCGCGAUCGCGCGCGAAGACUGGCCCGCCGCCGCGCGGUGGGCGAAGGACGCCAUGUUCAUCGACCUCGCCGACCCGCAGCUUCACGCGCAAGUGGCCGAAGCCUGCGCGAAUCAGAAGAAGUGGGCGGCUGCCAUCGAGGAAUACAUCGUUGCCGUCGAGCUCGAUCCCGAUCAACCGGCCUGGCGCUUGGCGCUGGCGGAUGCGCAUGUUUCCGCCGGACAGAAGGCCGCAGCGAAGAAAGUGCUCGAAGAGUUGCUGGAGCUGUCAC